GUGCAUCCACUGAUAGACCUUGAACAAUUGGCUGUUGUUCUUUUGGUUUGCACUAGGAUGCGAGAGAAGAAAAUCCCUGCGCUUUCUGUCUGUCUUUGUGGCAGCCCAGAUUGAAUAGGGGAAUACAUCU
rnacentral:snoRNA from 1 species